CUGCAUAUUAGUCGAAUAUGGAAUUUACAAUUUCUUGUGUUCAUUGUAUUACAAGAAGAGAAUGGGAUUACUCAUAAGCAAAACAUUCACAAUUUGAAAUAAUAAUCGAUUAGUUAAUUGUAUAAGAUGUUCCUUAAUUUGUGCAAUUAAGGGAAAUUGCAGCUGCAGUCCUCAAUCUAUAGCGCCUCCUGCAAUUUUAAUCUCCACUGUUUUUUUAUUGGCAUUAUGCUCCUCAAUCUAUCAUAACGAGCAUUCGCAGCAGCCAUCGAGGAUUUGGAGAUCGAACAUCCAAAUACUACCAUUCUCCAUGGUAAUUACUAUGACGACUUCCCCUGGGUUUUAUUUCGAGCCCAAUUUCUUGGAAAGUCA
rnacentral:lncRNA from 1 species